rnacentral:rRNA from 1 species
ACGGCUUCAGCUGCACGUGGAUAACCUGCCCUCAGGUCUGGCAUAACCCCGGGAAACUGGGGAUAAUUCCGGAUAACGCAUAUGUGCUGGAAUGCUUUAUGCGUGAAAGGUCCUCCGCCUGAGGAUGGGUCUGCGGCCUAUCAGGUAGUAGCGGGUGUAAUGUACCUGCUAGCCGACGACGGGUACGGGUUGUGAGAGCAAGAGCCCGGAGAUGGAUUCUGAGACAUGAAUCCAGGCCCUACGGGGCGCAGCAGGCGCGAAAACUUUACAAUGCGGGAAACCGUGAUAAGGGGACACCGAGUGCCAGCAACAUUUGCUGGCUGUCCAGGUGUGUAAACUACACCUGUUAGCAAGGGCCGGGCAAGACCGGUGCCAGCCGCCGCGGUAACACCGGCGGCCCGAGUGGUGAUCGUUAUUAUUGGGUCUAAAGGGUCCGUAGCCGGUUUAGUCAGUCCUCCGGGAAAUCUGUCAGCUCAACUGAUAGGCUAUCGGGGGAUACUGCUAGACUUGGAACCGGGAGAGGUAAGAGGUACUACAGGGGUAGGAGUGAAAUCUUGUAAUCCCUGUGGGACCACCUGUGGCGAAGGCGUCUUACCAGAACGGGUUCGACGGUGAGGGACGAAAGCUGGGAGCACGAACCGGAUUAGAUACCCGGGUAGUCCCAGCCGUAAACGAUGCUCGCUAGGUGUCAUGCAUGGUGCGACCGUGUAUGGUGCCGUAGGGAAGCCGUGAAGCGAGCCACCUGGGAAGUACGGCCGCAAGGCUGAAACUUAAAGGAAUUGGCGGGGGAGCAC